UACGGAGGAUGCAAGCGUUAUCCGGAAUGAUUGGGCGUAAAGCGUCCGCAGGUGGCUGUGUAAGUCUGCUGUUAAAUAGUGAGGCUCAACCCUGGGAUGCCGGUGGAUACUGUCGGGCUCGAGUCCGGAAGAGGAGUGUGGAAUUCCUGGUGUAGCGGUGAAAUGCGCAGAUAUCAGGAAGAACACCCGUGGCGAAGGCGGCUCUCUGGAACGCAACUGACGCUGAGACGCGAAAGCGUGGGGAGCAAACAGG
rnacentral:rRNA from 1 species